AGAGACUGAUGUUGGAUCAAUGAUGACUGUGGGUGCUGUAUGAGUCGUGUAUUAUGACUAUGCGUCUGAGAGUCUGAGGUUCACAUCGUAAUAUAUGUAGAGCAUCCUAUGAUCUUAGUGACAGAUGUUAGGAGUAGUCUACAUUUACAUGUAGAUAAAAUGGUGAUACAUUUGGAAAUCAUUUCUAAUAAGACAUAAUUCCAUAGCAAUAAUGUUAAGCACAUAGACUAAAUAGUGUUUCAUUCAGAUAUGAUAACUGGGGGUUCCCCAUGAGUGAUCUAAAAUUGUUAGCAAAGUUCUUGCUCACCUCAGAGCCAUGCCCAUUUGAUCUGUAAUGCAGAGAUAGUAAUAGAAUAAUGAAGACCUCAUGAGGGAUAUGGUGGAGAAUGACCCAGAGAAGCAGACGGAAUGCAGUUACCUAAACAGAAUCUUAACCUUUUUAUAAUUUUUCUGCUUUUUGCUCUCAGAAUGUAUGCCUGCAGGAUGAGUCCCACCUUCUUCAUUAGUCUUGAGGUUUGAGAUUCCCUGUUUGUGUCUGCAGGAUUCAGAUAGUGUGAGUAUAGUCUGUGUUCUUGUGUUGGAAUUCUUUUGCUUGCAUAAAAACAGGGUAGAAAAUAUUUCUGGGGCUGGUGAGAUGGCUCAGAGGUUGAGAGCACUGACUGUUCUCCCUGAUGUCCUGAGUUCAAUUCCCAGCAACCCCAUGGUGGCUCACAACCAUCUGUAAGGGCUCUGAUGCACUCUUCUGGUGUGUCUGAUGACAGCAGCAGUGUACUCCUGUUCCUAAAAUAAAUAAUUAUUUUAAAUACAUUAUUAUCUCUGAAGAGCAGAUGUAGCCAUAGGCAUAUAAGAUGUAUAUGAAGCACAAUGUUUAAUAAAAUUUUACCAAAUUAAGAUUGUGCAACAAUAGAGAUAGGCAUCAGUGCAGAAGAUCCCGUAGAGGUUUAACUGCACUCACGGAUCUUAUAGUUAGGGCUUGUCUCCAGUGGAGAUUUUCGCAAUGGUCCUAGUCAUCCAUUGCUCAAUAAUUUUACAUAGAUUAGUAGGGAAGAGGAGGACUGAUGUUGGAUCAAUGAUGAAUGUCUGUGAGCAUUCUUAGAGUCAUGAAUCAUGACGACAAAUUUAAUUCUGAGAUCAACAUCAUAAAGUAUCCAGUGACAGCUAUAAGAAGUAGUCUUCUUUUAUAAGUCAGUAAAUGUAAAUAAAAAUUGACUAGGAAGUCAUUUAAUCAAAAGGCAGCUCACAAAGAAGACUACAUAUAUGUAUAUAUGUAUAUAUGUAAGAAGAAAGUGUGACAGAGUAAUGACCAUGGAGGUGAGGGAUAAGAUGAAAUGAGCAGAAGCAGGCAGAAUACAUAGAUAAGCGAACGGAACAUCAAUCUCUUUAUAACCUCUUCUGUCUAUACUUCAAGAAUGGAUAUCCUGCAAGUCGGCUUCGUAGAGUCUCCCUUGAAAGUGGACCUCAUGAUCUAGCCUUUAUGUCCGUGGAUUGACACUGUGUGAGUAUCAUCAGCGUGUGUGCCAUUGUUUAUGGUACUUACAGAUGGCCCUAUAAGCUAGAAGAGAAAUCUUGAGAAAAUGAUAAACAUGGCUAUUGUGUGUAGUACAUUGUUAAUUUUCCCAAAUUUAACAACAAAUUAAUUUUGCCAAAUUUAGUGCAUAUAAAUAAAUACUCAGUUUGACAAAAGGUCCUUUAGAGAUCUAAGUCUCACUCAAGGAUCUUGCUGUUUGAGAUUUGUGAGUCAUAAUUAUCUGCAUAGUGUCUUUAAUUACUCAAAAAAAAAAACCACAUACAAAUUAAUAGAAAAGAGGAGGGUGCAUGUUGGAUCAAUGAUGACCAGCGGUAGCCGUAUGAUUCAUGGAUCAUGACUACAGAUCUGGGAGUCUGAGUUCCACAUCUCAAUAGGACAUCAUCCCCCAAGCACUGUUACCGUUAUGAGUGCUAGUCUAUUUAUAUAAUUAGUUUAAAACAUAGAUAUAAAUUUGUAGCAUAUACUCCACUUAAGAUGUUACUUCUUAGGAAAAGUUUUAAGGAUAUAUCCCAAGGCAUGACUGAGGAUACCGUAUGAACCAUAAUUAAAGACAAUGUUCAUGGUCAGAUGUAGAGCUGCCUUUUUUCUCAAGAAGCACACAUAUUAGUGUGAUCUACAUUUUGGAUAAUAGUCAAGGAGAAAGUAGCAAGACAAGCAGGUAGCAGUCAUGGAUGUGUGAACAGAUUAAAAAUCUUUUUUAUUAUCUCUUCUGCUUUACAUUCUCAGGAUGGAUUCCCCCCAAGUUCAUUUAGAUAUUCUCUCUUAUUCAUAAAUGUCACGGUCAGCUCUGUUCUUAUAGAUACCAGGUGAGUAUAGCCAACGUUCUUUUGUUGCUUCAUGUUGCUUUUUAAUGGCUGUGCAUAUACUGAGAAAAGAAAGUCCAGUUAUUAUCUGGGAAGAGCAUCCCGCUUAAAGUGUUAAAUGGCAGUUAGAUGAAACAGAAUGUUUAUGAGUAUUUCCAGAAGAGGAAUGUAUAACAGAAAAGAUUCUAAUCAUGGCAAAAGAUCCUGAGGACCUUCAGAGUACACGCAACGAUCUUGUCCUUAGAUUGUGUCAUUUAUUAUCAUCUUAGAGGCACUAGUGAGAUUAAUUGCUC
rnacentral:lncRNA from 1 species